UCGAAUUCCUGUAGAGAUCAGGCCAUGAUAUAGAUGAGUAAAGCAGGCCCAGAGAUCUCACCCUCCUCUUUCUUGAAACCAGCAGUAGUCUGCUGUCUUUAGUUUUUCUGUUUUUGAUAGAGACAUGGGUAUGGGAAAAAGGUUCUUCCCUGCGAGGAAAAGCACAGUGCAAUGAACUUGAUAAAAGGCGGUUGACUGUUUCCAUGGUGCUGACCAGCCCCGGCGCUGGAACACUGGGUUCCACACUGCCCUCUGCUGGCCCUCUUCCUCCCAGCCAAGCUUGCCUUUUAGGGGUUUAUUUCCUCAUUCUUCACCAAAUUUUCCAUCAGUUUGCGUGCUUUGAGUUAGAUAAAAUGACUCCACAGACCAGCAUUAUGAAGAUGAGACCUCGUUGAAUUGUAGAAAUGCCACUGAGCCCUGGGAACCUGGAAUCAGGACAGACCAGAGAAAAUAGACAAUGCUCGUCUCAAUUUGGACUCACCAUGUAUCAAGUUGGACUCACCAUGUAUCAAGUUGGACUCGCCAGAGAAAACCCUUCCUGAGGAUGCUGAGAAAUCCUCCGUCUUCGUGGGAGGGCUCACUGGAGCAUAUUCCGGAAAUGGACGAGGGAGGGAGGUCAGCUCAUUUCGGCCGAUGGUAACUCCAGCCUGACUUAAAUCAGUCAGUUCUGCUAAGAAACAGGCUCCGUGAGUGCCCGGAGGUCAAGGUGGUAUAAAAGGCACUAUUCAACAAUAUUUUACUUAUGUGCACAUAGCUCCAGUCUAGCACUUUUUCUAUGCAGUUGGGUGACUAUCGUCUGCACAGACAACAAAACAAAGACAGACCUACAUGGACUCAAGCAGUGUGUGUGACCCUUGUGUGGGCAGCGUCAGUGGAGUGGCCACAGAACUGCCUCUGCCAUCAGAGAAGCAGGGACAUUGGGACUAAAAAGAUCCAGGAGUGCCUCAAACCAAAAGAAAUUCUACGACUCCUACAAAAUGGACAUGCAUUUAUUUUUUUCUACACAUCAUUUGAACUCUUGAAAAGAGGUCACAUGUCAUAUGUUAGAUAAUGCUUGCCGGCUUGGAGAGUGGAAAGGACCCAUUCUUGUAAGGCGAAUUUAAGAGAACCAAUGAGGAACUGUCAGGCACCGAAGUUUGUAACAACAUAGGUACUCUGGGAAGAUUGGGAAAAUACAGAUAUCUUGCAAUUCAGGGGAUUGUAA
rnacentral:lncRNA from 1 species